AAGUUUUCUUCUUCAUAGAAGAUUUUGAGGAAAGCUUUUUCGCAGUAGCGUUCGAUCUCUACCCCAGUUUAAGAUCAAGAAAUGGCUCGCUCUUUAUCCAACGCAAAGAUCUCCUGCUUUUGCCGUCGAUCGCGUCUCUAUGCCUUUAAGCAGGUAGUAUUUAACGAUUUGUGUUCUGUCAUCCAAAAUACUCUGUUCUUACCUAAAAACAGAUUCAAAACGCUCUGUUUUCGCAAGAAAAUACAGCGGAAAUUAAAACUUUACAUAUUCGAGAUAAAAAUUAUUAUCGAGUCAAAAAAGUUUAUUUUAUGUUGUUGUUUCUUUCCUGUCUCCUUGUGUUUCAAAUACUAUAAAAUCGAUUUGAAGAUCAACAUCUCCAAAAAAACAAUUAUUGUAGCGGCAUAUUAUAUAUAAGAUGUUAAAACGGUCCGGUUUAUUAUGCUGACAUGAGACACAAAUGUAUGGGCCGGGACAGACCAAUGUUUUUGGGAGAUGGCACAACGAAUGCAACCAAGCCAAUAAACGUGCCGGGAGGUUAAGUUUUAUCAAAUGAACACGAUACAUGAUCAUCCGACCUAAGAUGGGAUUCAGGCUCAGGCACGAUCUGGACGGAUCUAAGAGGGGCCAAUAGAUCGUGCAGAAACCUAAGAUGACAAGGCAAUGAUCGUGCGGAACAAGUUUAUCAAUGAACGCGGCCACAUGAGAAGAUUAAAAAAAAAUGACGGAGAAUAUAAAUGGUCGGUCAGCUUGUUUGACUACCCAGACGAGAGAGAGGAGAGAGUCGUAGCGAGAGGAGAAUUCUUGCUGGGAGAAUUUCUUGUUGUGAACAAGGACGAUAUUUUCAUGAGUCCACUUUCGCGCGCGUUAACCCCACUCAGAUUAAAAUCAUGUGAAAUCAUUUUUAAAAGUUUACGAGUCGUUGUAUAAUAUUUUAUUGAAUUUGUGAAUAGGCGAGGGAUACGCGGCGGCGUUCACAAGCGUGCGUCGGCAUCACACCGGCGUGAUGGGGAAGAAAUUCAGGGAAGAGUCGGCGAAGAAGUCUGGGUCCCAGAUCCGGGGAUGACCGGAUACUACAGGCCGGAUAAUCGCGCCGACGAGAUCGACGUGGCGGAGUUGCGUGAGAUGCUCCUGAAACAACAAAAUCAGACGAAACUAAAUCGAAGAUACUGACCCAACGCAUCGGAUGAUUCUGAGUGAUCAUGAAGACGGACAUUGAGCUCUCGGCGAUUCCCUAUGAAUUGUUCCAUUUCUUUGGUCAAGUAUGAGUGGGUUCCUCUCCAUGGGCUCUGUUAAGGAGGAUUGGUUCGAGAUGCCUUUUGUUUGGGUUCAUGUUAGUUUUUGAUUUGGCAAUCCGCAGUGUCAUGAUCUAAUUGACUAGAAAAUACCAGGCCCGAUCAUUUGUUAUUAAUUUUUUUUUCUUUUGUUAUUGGUUUGGGUUGGGAUAUCAUUCUUCAAGAAACAAGGCUUUAAAAUAAUGGAACAAAAUAUGUUCAUAUUUUGUGGGAUUUCGAGGGAUCACGAGUUGGGGAAUUUUUCGUUGAUUUUUGCUAAUUAUGUUGAGGUCUCUUCUUAAUUGUUACUUUAAUUUUUAGAUUAUUUCUUUUAUUGGUGACGGCAAUAUAUAUUUAUUUUUGGAUUUUGUGUAAUAACAACGCUAAAUAGACAUAGAUCAUAAAGAAUCGAGUCACGUAAAUUCAUUUUUUUCUUUUGUAUUUUCUUCUCUCCGCGUUGCCCUAUCUCACAUGACCCCUAACAUCAUUCUAUGGGAGAUUCUGUUUGUGUUCAAACGUAUGUAAUGGUUUAAUGAAUUCUAUACGUACAUCUCAAAUAGAUAUAAGUUUAGAUUAAGUUGCCAACUGGAAUAAUAGUGUGAGUCCAAAUUAUCACAUCUUAAUUAGCAAUUUUUUUCACCUUAAUCAACUUUUUAUUAUCAAGUUGUAAAAUUGGAAUUGACUGUAAUCACAAUGAAUUAAAUCUAUUAUUAAACAUGAACUUAGUGUCUCGUAAUAGGUGCUGAUUUACAGUCAUUUUGCGGUGCUGCAAAGAGAAAUAUAUUUGGCUAACAAAAAAAGUGUUGGGCUCACAAUCUCUCUUCCAUCUCUGCUCUGUGUAUAAAAUGCAACAGCACCAUGCCUUCACCCUUCAUCACUCUCUUCGAGUAAACAGAGGACGGUAGAUGAGUUUUGUGCAAAUUUCAUAUGAAUAAAUCUAGCGCAUUUCGUAAAUUAUUUUAUGAAUUACUUUAAUAUUUCGUAAAUUCUUUUAUGAAUUACUUUAUACACUCACAUGAAUUGUGAUUUUCAUAUCCAAUAAUAGCCUAGUAGGACCCGCUCUUUGCAGUUUCUACUCUUUCUUGACUCUAUUUGUCUUUGACAAUUAGACUCUGUCACAACCUAGGUCAACAUAAAGUCGGAUCGAGAGCGGUGCUUUAAUUAAUUUGACUUAUAAAAUAUUUGUAUUUAUUAAUAAAGAAGUUUAAAUUGAUGAGGCAUUCUUUUGAUAUAAUCGUAUUAUUAUUAUAAUUAAAGUAUACUUUCUCUCAUGCGGCCGUCCCUCUAUCAUAUAAAAAAUGCUACUUAAAUGCUUUGACAUUAGUCCACCCUAUUAAAAUUUUCGAUUUUGCAUAUAAUUUAAUGAAUCAUCAUGUUUUUAUAAACCUCCCUGGGAUAUCCAUUUGUGAAAGUCUUAUACAAAAGUCAUAUAAGUCCUCCCUUCAUAUUUUUUUCUCUCUCUCUGUAAUAUUGACUAAGGACUGACUAUUCUCAGGCUAUUACAUGUCUCAAUUAAAACCAAAAUAAGACUUUAUAUGAACUGACCAAACACAAAAUUUAGUGUCAUAAUUCCGGUUGUGUAUUAUUUAUUAGUAGUGUUGAUAGAUAAGGGGAGAUAAUGAGUAGGAAAAGUGCAAUUCCCAUCAAUACCACUCCGACUAAUAUAUAUUCCAUAGGCAACAUCUAACCACUCAAUCAAUCCUUGGAAUUAAAUUAUCUUAGACUUUGUUUGGAUCCCAUAUUUAGUAAAUAAAAAAAAUAUAAAGUAAAAAUAAUAGAGGAUCUAACCGUUCAUUAGUAAAGAAAGUCAAAUUAUUACCACAAAGAAGCGAAUCUCCUAUAAAUCUCUCUAUUUCCUUUUUCCCACAAAAUGUCUUGAUCUGUCACCACAACCUUAGUGUCUCCAACAAAUAUACCAUAAAAGAGUGUUAUAACAGUUUGCACGGCAUAAAUUAUGUUUGUGAUGCGGUGUUCUCAUGAAUUAUGAAAAAUUGGCCCGUGUUGAUUGUAAUGUAGCAUGAAUAUUGAAGAGCCCCCACCAACUAAUAAGAUUAUGGGUAUUUAUGUAGAUAUUGUCAACUAUACUUCAUGAUUAUACUCAAACCUAAUUGACGAUAACAAACCCUUCAACUCCUGUUCUUUCUAAUGACAAGGGACAGAGAGGAGAAACAAAAGAAACAAAGUGGACAAAACUACCUACAACGGGAGACACCAUAACUAUGUUACAUGGACUUUUUUAAUUUGUUAAAGUAUUCGGGUCGGACACUCACACUACUCGGACAUAUGUAUGAUAUCUGUGUCUGAUAUAUUUAUUGGACUACCUAUAAAAAAUAUUUUGGAUAUCAAAUUAAACCUUUAGGCUACGCAUAGAACAUGUAACCCGUCUUCGACACCCCUUACCUAGCCAAGUAAUACGAACCAUAGCAAAACAAGAAAAAUAAGAAAAACAAUACACAAAACCGAAUCAUUUAAAAAAAUCAAAAUAAACAGGAUAAUAAAAAAGAAAAUGAACUAAAGGGACCACCAGAGUGGCAGCAAAUAUGCUAGCAAACCCACCACCACAAAAUACAAACGACACAUUCCAAGCAACCUUAGUGAACCAGCUAACCACCUUGCUUGCAAAAUAAAUGGAAACUAGCAAAUUUUACAUUUUUUUUUUAUAACUAAGUGCCAAACAAAGAAUGCAACUUGUAUUUGAAACAAGACCAAAAAAAUUAGUUGACCAAGCGAUGAGAGGCUCUCUAAUAGAAGAAGGGGUUGAAGUUUUGAAUCAGAUGGGUAAAAAAUUAGGUAAACCGUGGGCUUAAUCUACGGUUUUAUCGAGAAGAUUAUGAUGAAAAAAAAAUUAGAUUGAUUCAGACAGUAACUAUUAACAUGAUAUAAUUCACCAUUCUCUUUAAAAAAUGAAUGAUCUAUUAUGAAAAUAUAUUUGUUUCAAGAACAAAAAAAAUAAUUUAAAUCACGUGGCUGCUAAUAUUCUAAUCAAAUUCGAAGGUUAUAAGAAGGGUUCCAAAUUAUUGAGUUAGUUCACGAUCAGCCUACCAACUUGUCUUAACUUUACGGUAAAAGGACAGCUUGCUAAGCCACUGAGGAUAAACUGUACUGUAGGAAAAACCACUGUCUUCUCAAAGCCAAGCAUCACAAUGACAAUUUACUUGAACAAAAUUAAAGAUGACAGACGUGGUUUUUGUGUUUGCAAAGAUUAAGAAUAUAUGGGGAUGCUUUUGUAUAAAGACUGAAGUUGUCUACUUUUAAAACAAAGUGGCAUUCUUCUUUUAAGGAGUUCUAAUUCAUGCAUUUUCUAUUGAAGCAACUUGCCUUCCUGAUCAACCAAAUAGUUUAAAUGUUGGAUCUCUGGUAUUGCCCCAAAACAGGCAUAUUCCAAAAACAAACUUGGUUGUUCUACUCCUGAAAACUUAAAUAAUUAACCAAGUUGACAAUUCGUAUUUGACGAUAUUAUUAUUACCAUUGAUGUGGAUGGAAUACUUGAAAAAGUAAAACACGUAACGGUCAAAGCUGACCAUAUUUGGACUAUAGUAAUUUACCAUUGAUUGUGGCUGAACAGUACACUAACCACGUCAAACAGUGAUCCCUCGCAAAAGAGGUUCUGUCUUGAUUAUUUUACCCCCCUUCUCUCUAUCCUCUUUUAUCUCUAUCUCUACUCUUCCACAUGGCAUAAAUCUACAAAAUUUUACAACCGCCGCCGCCAUAGAGCCCACCCACUAGCACCAAUCUCUCCAAGCCACAACUUCUCUCCUCAUCUAAAAGGGUUAAUUUGAAAAAAAUGCUUCACAUUUGUUCACCUCCACUACCAAGGGUCCAAGGAGUAAUAUUAACAACAGGUAGUAGCAAACUAACUAUGAUGUAUAAAGGGGCUAUGUAGUCCUAAAUCCCUAUUUAUUUUGCAGUGAAAACCUAGUUAAAUCCUUGAAUGGGUGUAACCAGGUAGUGAAACCUCCAUAAUGAAUACCAACGGCUUGUAGGACAUGGAUUUCAUCCUAUAAUUUAUAUUGAUUCACCUGACUAAUUCGUAAUUGGAAGUUAUGGUUCUUGAAUAAAAGCGAAUCAAUAUGGGGAAUAUUGAAUUACAAUGUCAAUUGGAACAAAAUUUAGGGCUGAAUAAGAAAAAUUAACCCAAAAUUUGAGUCGAUUUCGAAUUAAGGAUUUCGCAAGAGCUUCGUUGCAAAAACUAUUUCAUGUUCAUAAUAUAUUGGUUCGCCUGAAUCAUUUGCAAUGAAAAUGAUGUUCUUGAAUAAAAAAUCGAAUUUAAACAUGAAAUUUAUGAAUUUACAAUGUCAAUUUGGAACCAAAUUUUAGGGUUUACAUAAGAAAUGGACCCAAAAUACUGAUUUCGAUUCGAAUUAAGGAUUUCUGCAAGGAGUUUAGUUGCAAACACUAUUUCACAGCGAGCCAAAGGGUUGUUGAGGGAGGGAUUGCGGGAGGUGGUGGAAGAGGAUGAAAUAGACAAACUAUAAGGUCGGGCCCUAAAAAAAAAGGUAGGCGGUCACCUUGGGGGGAGAAACCACUACAGAAAGCAAGGUAGGGGGACGACUUGCGUUGAACCUCGAUCGAUGAUACUUACCCAAGCAUUGGCGUUAUCCGGACAAGAAUAUGCAUCAUAACCGAGUUGUGCUUUACAGUAAGCGCAGUGGGCAGGUUUUUGUGCGAAAGGUUGGCCAAGAGACAAACAGAGCAACGAUCUCGAUGAUGUUACGGGGAGACAGAGGAUAACUUGCAUGGGCGAAAUUCUUUUGGAACAGCCCCAUGCCUAGAACAAAGACAUAUUUACAGUAUAGAGACGUGCUACCCAAAUUGAGCCUUUCGAAGGUAUGGGUUAAGGUCGGAACUUGCCUAUGGGGGGACCUAGCAGGUUGGCGGGCUCAUCGACGAGCUGUGCUAUAUAAGGAGAACUUUGUUAUAAAAAAGGUACCCACUUUUAGCUAAAAGAUACACCUACACUUUCUCUUCUCACAAUUCUCCGGUUGUUCUGAUGGCCCAACUUGACCGUCAGAUAGUCGUUUUCGAAAUAGUUACAGCAGCGAUCUCACUAUUUCUGAACAUUGUAAUUGAAUUGGUUACAAAAAUUUCGUCGUCAUAGACACCACCGCGAUUGUCUAUCUCGCUUUCUUCCCUCGUUCAUCUUCUUCUAUAAAACUCACACCCAAGUGGCCAAUGGUGGUGUGCUUUGUGGAGGUGGAGGUGGGAGCAUUGGGAAGAAGAGAGAUGAGUUGGGUUGUUGUGGUGAAAAUCAACUGUGAAACAUCUUGAAAAUCAUAGGUGGAUACUACCAACCAUGCUGUAACAUCAAAUGGAAUAAUAAUAAAACAUGAUGUAAAACAAUUCCUAUGGAUAAUAAUAAAAAAAUCUUUUACUAAAGCCUAAAAAGAAAAGAAAAAGAUUAUUCGGAUUGCCUUUUAAAUAUAACAAGAUAUUUAGUCCCACAUCCUCAAAAGACUUUUGCUAAUUAAAGUAGCAAAAAAGAACAAAAGGUGGGAUAUUUUUCAGGGUCUGAGAAUACCAUUUUGGCUUUUUGCAAAUCUCACUCCAAAAUCGAAGAAGACACAAAACGAUUGAUCCUAAGCUCCACGCUCUCUUCUCUCUCCACGUUGACGCAAUCAAAUCCACAUCCGCACUGAGGGCUCCCCUCGAAGUUAUCGAUCCCGAAUUGGGCGGAGGCGAUCCCGACGGAGAGAUUGAGAUCGUCGCCGACGCGAGUGACCUCGGUGAUGUCGAACCAGAGGAAAAUCACCUUCACGCUGAUCCCCUUCAAGUUCUUGAUCUUGCCCUUGGACAUGACACCGGAUAUCGUCGAUUUGUACUUGAGAUCGUAACCCUCUGCCUUGAAGCUGCAGGUCCCGUUCAGGUACACCUUGAAUUUGCCGGUGGACGCGUCCAAUUCGUAGCCCGUCACGCCCUGUGGAAGAAGACCCGCCGGGAAGUCGUAUUCCUGUAGAAGAUCGUACGCUGUGGCCGUCUCGGCGGUGGCGGUGGCGGAGAUGGUUAUAGACGAGGAGAGAGAGCAACGCAGCGAAGACAUUGGUCGGUGGGGGGUUUGGUUUGGCAGAGCCAAAAGUUCGAGUGAUUUCAAUCGAAUAUUUAACUGGUCAUCUAGAGUGAGGGCUGGUGUGGGCUCCCUGUAUCGAUUACCUUGGUGUUUCGCGUGGCUAUUAUCUUUAUAAGAUAAUCUCUUUACCUAAUUUGAUAACUAUUUUGGAAAAUUACAAUAAAAUUUUCAGAGUUUGAUAAUGUAAAAAAUUAAUGCGUCAGUUUUUAAUUAUAAUAAAUAAAAUUUUAUAAUUUUAAUUUUAUCAUCACUUAAAUUAAUCGUUAAUGUUCGUCUACUUAGCACUCAUCACUAGCUGAUUUCACCCAAAACGUAUGAAAAUUAUUUCGCAUAGUCUACCCAUUUUAAUUUAUAAUUGAACGCCAUAACAAUACAAAUUACAGAGUUUUGAUUUUAUAUUUAUUUAAAGAGACGCAAAUUUAUGUCAUUUUAAAGGAAGGUUUGAAUCGAAGCUUUAAAAAGGAAAAACGAAGAAGACAUUUGGGCAGAUUUAGUUGGCUUCUAUUAAUCUUAAAUUGAUGGAGACUAAUAGUAUUUUAAAUUGCUAUUAAAUUAAAAUUAUAAAAUUUAAUUUUUUAUAAUUAAAAUUAUAAAUAUAACUAUUUCAAAUACCCUUGAACUUGUGGUUCUCACAAGCAAUGAACUUAAAAAAACAUCAUGUGGACUCCUGUGUUUGAAAAAAUUCUUUAACAUCGAAUUAUUAAUUCGAUGGAAUCGUCUUAGGUAAAUCCUAAGUGGAAUGCAACGUGGUGGUUAACACCCACAUUUUCAGGAGAAAAUUCAAAACCAAUUUCAACACAACCCCUAAAACUUUUCGACCAAAUGUGUUGCACUCGUUAAAAGAAUAUUAAUUACACACUUCGUUAACAAAAAAUAAUUCUUCAAUUUCACUAAAACGUCAACCUUCAAUCAAUUAUAGAACGAAAAUAAGGAUCAGGGUAUAAGUAGUAAGAGAAGCACAAGCUCCUGAAGAAUAUUGGAAAGAGAGAGAGAUGGAAGACUAUAGGUGGAAAAAAAUCAAAAGUUCUAAAAACGGUUAGGCGGGUAAUAGGGCGGGGGGGCCAGGAACCUCGCGCUAGGCGGGUUCGGAGUCUAGGUGUUUGUUUUAAUUAAUAUUUAUUAUUUAAAAUCAUUAUAUUUACUAAAAAAUAAUAUAAAAAUGAUCAAAUAUCAAAUUCUAACCAAAAAAUAAUAUCAAAAUAGGAAAGUUCAAAUGUUUAAAUUAAAAUAAUACAAAGAAGAAAAUAGAAAUCGCAAUAAAUCUCUAAAAUACAUAGAAAUUAAAAUUAGUAUCUAAAAGCGCUAGGCGUAAGGUAGAGGGCCAGCGCCUAGGCCCUGAGGGCUUCUUCUUAGGCACCUAGCGGAGGAUUUUAGAAGAAAGAGUACACCAUAUGCAGGAUAUAAAUCUUUAACAAAAAAGAUCAUAUGUAACCCUAUUGACCAUAUCCAAAACACUUGAAACAAUGAAAAUAUAAUAAGAUUUUGAAAAAGAAAUGAAUAUAUUAAUAUGAUGUGAUUAUCAACGGUGUUUUAAAAACCCUAAAAAAAAGAGUAGUGAUAGGUAGCACCCAAAAUGGGGUGUACAAGAAACAUCUAUUUGUCCUUUCACAAAUUAAGUGAGAACCGCCAUAAUUAGGAUUUUUACGUUUUUCUAAAAAACUCUAAUUAGGGCGGGGGUCCCAUUUAUUUGUGGAGAUGACAAAAUGAGGUGUGUCUUGUAUACACCCACUUUUGAAUGUGUAUCAAUAUUAUUCCCCCUAAAAACCCUAUUAGAUGUUGCUAUUAAUUGAUUUUUUAUUAAAACUAGAUUUUCUCCUACCCCUUAUUUAAAUGUGCCACUUAUAUGACCUAAAGUGUGAUUUUGCAUAAUUUUUUUACUUUAAAAUCAUAAAUGAUAGCCACAUCGCUAUUUUUUAUUCUCUUAGUUCACAUAAUUUGACGUCGGGGUUGGAAUUGAGGAAUCUUUGUUAAUAUCAGAGUUUAUGAGACAUUGAAUCAGAAGUUCAAGAGGUAUUUUAAUUUUUUUUCCCUCCAAAAUAGUGGGUUUUGGCCACAUAACUCCAUCUAUGAUGAUUUUGGCAUUACGUGACAGAAGUUCUAGAGUUGAAAUGAGGAAUCUUUAUUUAAUUUCAAGUCUUUAAUUGAUAUUUUUUAAGGUCAAGUGUUUAUGAAAAUUGGUUUUUAGUCAAAAGUUUUUAGGGGUAUUUUGAAAUUUUUCCCACAAAAUGAUUGUUUAUUUUUUUGAAAAGUGAAAAAGGACCCGGUGGCAAAAGGAUGCUAGUCGGACCUGUCAAACAAGAACAGUGAGAAGGGCCGCGGGAAGUAAUUCCAAAGAACGAUUUUUUUUUUUCAAAGAACGACUUUCCAACGAUAAGUUUAAUUACCGGAAAAAAAGGUGAAGAUAGAGAGGACUUGUAUAACUUUUGUGAGCUGAUAUUACUACUUUUGAGAGAAAAAUGAUUUGCGUCAAUUUAUAAUGUACCUUAGGUGUGCUAGAAGCGCUAACUGCUAUGUCAAUAGUAGACGACUGACCCAUCAUGCCACUAAGCAGAGUUGGCAACGAGCCUAUCAUGUUGAGUCUGGGGAAUUAGGCGUUGCAAGGGCAAAGAACUUCAUUGUACAAGCUACUACAUCCGACCCUGACGUACCAUUGGGUCCCCACCAA
rnacentral:lncRNA from 1 species